UUGUUGGUACGCAAUAACACUGCCAAUGAUUUCUGAAUGGUUCUGCAAGCUGCUGGAAACACCCAACAAUCCACGUUUUGCCAUGUAACUUACUAGAAGUGCUAGCAACGCUUCUACAAUGUAAAGGAAAUCCUUUUAUGAUCAUCUCCGUUGUGCAUGUCAUAAACCAAUACCAUGCGCUAAUGAUGCGUGACCUAAAGAAAGCACAGCAACCGGAGCGUACAACCGUAAACAGAAGAUUUCCUGGCCAAUCAUCCGUAAGGUCUUCGCAAAUGCAUCCUACACGAGGAGGCCUACAUUGCACUAUUACAGCCGGCUCAAUCGACUCACUAUGGUAUACUGCAGAUAUGUAACAUAAAUGGGAACAAUAUUAUGAAGCUCUAUUUGCUGUGCUUUCUACGGUGACGUACUGUGCCUCCAGCUUUUAUAUAUUGCUGCGAAAUCUAUCGGCUAUUCGAAACUAUUGAGUAAUCAUCAUGGACGUGGAACAAAUGUGAUCCGAACUUCUGAAUCAAUAUGCGAACGAAUUCGUAGAAACGAGGACUCAAUUCACCAGUCGGAAUAUUGGCAGAGAUCAUACUAUAACCGCAAAGUAUGUAACCGCUCAGACUAAGCUAACCGCGUUACCUAAAUUAGACCAAAAUCUAGAUGCCCAUCUGCCGAACAUUAUGAAAAUCCUCAUCAAUGACAUUCGCCUGUUAGACAAGAUGAAGUUAAAUAAUCACCAACCAAGUAUUUUUACCGACUGCACAAAUGUGCAUUCUACGCCAUAGUCAACGUGUGUCACAAUGCUACAGUCGUUGUAGUGUUGGACAGUUCCAGUCAGUAUAACUAUCAACGACUGAAGAAGUGUGGUCUGGAACUGCUGCGAAAAAUGAAAAAUUGUACAAGUUUGACGAAUCCCUCGAAAUCAGCGUACACGUGUUCGCUACUUUGUGCUAUUCGCUACUGAUGGCAGCGGCAUCGACGUUGGUUAUUGGUGAGCGGCAGCAUAUCGACUACGCAGUAGAGACCGUCGAGAUGGAAAAGAUAGCAAAGUAUUUGUUAAACUAUCUUUUUUCCUAGCAGUGCGUCUUUCCUGAAUAACCGAAAAUUGGAUGUUAAUAUGGAACUUUAGCAGCAGGCACUAAAGUCGACAACCGGCUACUGCAAAUUCAGCUUAAGGCUAAUGAAAUAUUCGCUUCGGUUGUAUCCAUCCUUCGGUAUACAGCGGUCUUUGUCCAACGAAAACUGAAUUUUCGCCGGUUUGGAAGCCAUCGAUACCUUGUAUCUGCGUCGUUCCACUAAGCUGAUAAUUACAGCCAUUGGCAACUGUAACUACUACUUCAAAGGAAACCCGAGAUUGCGGAAAACGUACGAAAAAACUUUUAAUUCGAUUGCUUUUCCAUUCGGAUCAGCACGAUAAAAGGUACGCCCACCUAAAAGAAUUGUUGUUUGAUCCCGAAUUUCAUCGUAUCGCUGAACUAAGGAGCUAUCCGGACCAUCGGCGAAGGCUUCUCAACUCUAAUCGCUGGACAUUCUAAUACCGGUAGAAAAUUUUUGUCGAGGUUAUCUGAGGUUGAAUAUUGCAGUUCGUACAGACAGAUUCAACAGCAAGCAGAAACACUAGCAAACAUUCCUCCUAGAUCAGUGCACCGAUUUACCAACGUUAGAUUUCCUGUACUUCCGAUACCGACAUCCGUGAAAAAGAGCUGCCAUGCAUCCUUUUCACAUGAUAAGUAGCACACAUGAUCAGCAUUAUUCGCCCAACGUCGACCCCAUUCGAGAGACCGUUUCCAACGGAGUUUGUUUGGUGAAAUCCAAAUACGACGUAGCAAAGCAUAUGUCAAGCGAUGUGUAUAACCUAAGCGUGUGUGUAUAACAUUAAAUCUAUGCUCGACACCCUGCAACAGAUCCAUUAUGAUCCAGCAAUCCCACACAGCGAUCUUAUACAGAUGAGCUUAAUGGCCAAAAAUUCGUGUCUGCGAGAUCAUUCAUAAAACUAAAAGAUGGGGAUUUGUGGAGUAAAUUCUUGACAACGCUCUGCGAGAGGAACAUUUUUUUACUAUCGGGACAGCGCAGUGUCCGCGAUUACACUCACCAAGGUUGCAAGAAAAUAUCUCCAACUAUCCCGCCAGUGGUUCGAUGCUCUCGAACACAUUUUGUGGAACGCAAAAAAUGAUCAGUCUUCCAGAGCAGAUAAAAAGUAGACCAUAGACCAUAGGCUUCUCCCAGAGCAGAACGGCGAAACACUCUUUGCUUUUACAUAAACCUGAUUCAAUCGAUCACUUUGUUUUGCUCUAUACGAUCACGAAAAAUUGCUUGCUCAUUAUUCUGGACCAAACGAAAAAGGUACACCUGAAACCGAAAGCUUACAAAGUAAUAGCAUUGCAGUGCAGUCAUACUAGCGCACUGAUUCGUUUCUGGAGGACAAAGAUUUUUGGGAGCUCAUUUAAUGCACAGCUGCAGUUACCCGUGGGAAUACCUAAUAAAUUCAACAAAU